UUUUGUUAUUUGCUCAUCAAUUCCUAUUUGUGAUGUAAUCUGUAAAUCUGUAAUUUGCAAUAUUGGGAAUAUUUUUAAUUUCUUAUUUGUAAUACCCUUUGUGACUAUAAAUUUCAAAUAUAAAUUUUUCAAAUUUGUUGAUCAUUUUCUUUGAUGUCAUCUGCCAUCUAGGCUGAAAAUGAUGGCUGCUACCCUACUCAGUUUAACAAACUCAAGGGAAGGAAUAUGUUGUUCAUGGUUGAGAAGUGUACUGGUGCGAGUUUUAUGUUUGACGGUUCGUUCAGAGUUAAGAGGGUCUGUGACCAGCCCUCUGUUGUCGAGGCAUUUAAAUCUAUUGGCGUUGAAUGCACUCCUUCUGAGGUUAAAUUAAUUCCCUUUUUGAUGCAAUUGAUGAAAUUGCUUAGCGCUUCGUUUAAUUAGUUUAAUUUGAUUUAUGUUCAGACUGUCUCCGACGCACCCGUAACAGAUAGGAUUGUUGUGAAUCAUGUUUCCGAGUCUCUUGAUGAUUUCGACGCUGAGGAAUUUGUUUCCAACCUUAUUGUAAGCCCGAAUAGUGUGCUUGAUGUAAACCAUGAGGUUGGUUUGUCUAUAUUUUGAAUUAUGCUUUGGUCUCCAUUGUGGAUCUGUGGUAUAUUUUUGAAUUUGUCCAAUGUGUUUUUGGCAGCCCGAAGCCAACGGCCUUAGCGAUGAUGUCUACCACCUAUCAGGAGAGAACGAAGUUACUGGUGCUUUCGAAGGUGUUGGAGAUGGCGAAGGUUCAUCCGUGUCUGCUGUUGUUUUUGAGGUUGCGAGGCCCACUCGCAGAAUCCCUAGGGUUAAGAGAAGCCUUGCUCAAGCCUUUGUCAACGUUGAUUCUGAUGAUGAACCUUUGUCCAGGAAGUAUGGAAAGUCUAAGGUUGCUUGAAGCUUGGGUGUAAUGUUGGUGUGGUCUUGGAGUUUGUUGGUUUGAUAUGUAGAUGUAGAUGUGUCUGUUCUGUUGUAUUGCUAUUGGUUUUCCAUCAUGGAUUGUUUUGUGUGUAAUAAUUUGGAAAACAGUUUAUGGUUGUGUAAUAUGACAAUGAAUUGGUUCAAUGGAUGGUGGUCUAGGAACACUGUCUUCAAGCUAUAUCACUAGGACCAAGUUUCAAUUGUUGAACUUUGUAUGAAUAUUUAUGUUCUAUGUAUUAGUUUAUCUUCUAUAUUAUCAUGCAUUUUCCAAUUCAAUCCAUAUGCUAUGCUUCAUUGUUAUGUUUGAUUUUAAUAUAUUAUGUUUAGUUUGACUUAUUCUCCAAUGUUUUUUGGAGGCUUGGGGAAUUGCAGUGUUUGAAGCUGCAUUAAUGGAAAUAAUCCUAUUUUAUCAUCUAUCUUACUUAGUAAAAAACUUUUGCGUUUCUCCAUGUUGAUUAAUUUAUUUAGCUUAUAACGUGAUUUAUUUCAGUUGUUUCAUUUAAAAUUGAUUAGCUACUUCUUUAGUGUUCUCUAUCUUUAGUUUUGUAUUUUACUUUAUCCUUUGGCCGUAUUGUGCAUUUAAUUGUACAUGGUUAUUUCUAUACAUAAUAUUUUUAAUUUUUUUUGGCUUUAUAAUUGAGGUAUAAUUCUUUCAAGUUAAUAGCAUACAACGGCAAAAUGCCUACAAAUAAUAUGAUAAAACCUAAGUCACCGAAAUACUCAUGCUUCCGGAUCUGCAACGUUGACGUCCAAAUCAUUGCUUGAAUUUGUAAUUGAUUGAUAUAGAUCUUUCAAUAGGAACUGAACAAACACCGCGACAAGACACAAAAUCAAACGCCGCAUAAGACGACGAACAACAAAACGCCGCACUUAGACGACGAAAUCACAAAAAAAAAAACACAAAAGGAAAAACUUCAUAGAUGUGAAAAUCACUUAUUUAGAUUGAAAGAAAAGGGAAAAAAAAUGUUGUGGGGUGAUUCUAGGUCCAAAAAUGAUCUAAAACCACCCCUCCUCGAUGAACGAAGAAGAAAAAAAGUUUAAAGAGAAGUUGGUGUUUCUCUCCCUAGAAAACUUUGGUGCUGAUUUUUAGCAGCGACAUUUUCUUUAUUUAAUGGUUUAAUACAAUCUUGAAUUUAUUGCAUAUUUUUUUUAUCAAAGGCAUGGUUUCUUCUCUAGUAGGAUUGAUCAGAAUAAUAAUUCAACUCUUCAGCGUAUUUCAUUUUCUAUCUUUAAUUUUUGUAGUCACAUGGGCUAUUUUUGGUGGGUAUUAGAUGCUGGGCUUGAGCGUAUGGGCCUUUGAACACUAUGUGUCCUAUUCAUCGUUGUCCAUUUGGUUUUAUUUGACAUUUUCCUUCAUUUGAAGGCAUGUUUUUUCUUUUUGUCGUAUUUGGUGGAGUUUGUUAUGUUGUUCGCUUAACUUCCAAGUGUUUGGUAUCAACUCCUCACAACUUUUGUCCAUACCUAAUCAUCAAGAACUUAAUUAACACUCCUUUGUUUUUCGCGUUGCAUUCUUCUUAUGUCCAUCUAUUUUCUGUUUCGUCUGCUUAUUGGGACCCCUUCAUUGGAGGAGUUCUUCUUAAUUUCCUUUUUAUCUUUCUUAAUUGGGUUGAAUUUCUUGACACCGUUUUCAUUGGGUAUGGCAUAUGAUUUGUUCAUGCGCUUGGGUUUGUUCGCACCUUUUGGUGCAGCAUUGACUGGGGUUAUCAUUUUUUGCCCCAAAAUGUUCUAUUUGGCCGUUGAUAUGCGUUCGAUGGUUUAUGAUUUAUCCCCUCUUCGGAUUCAUUUGUUCUUAUAAGCUUUUACGUGAUUGUCCCACCCUUUUUCUUUUGCAGGUGACCAAUCCGGUGGUAUUGUUGGAUUCAACUUAGGGUUUAUGUAUGAAUGAUUUUUAUAAUUAAUAUUUUUCCCGAUCAUUUUCAUGGACUUUGGUGAAGAACGGUUUGGUACACCUCAUUCUUUUUUUAAUUUUUAUUUGGUUUAUGUUCUUGGGUGCUGAUCCACUGUUUUUUAUUUCUGCAGACUUACCUUUUGUUGAUAUUAUUUGCAUAAUAUCGAAAUUGUGUCUAUGAGUCCUACUUGGAUGGUAGCAAAGUAGCUGUAGGUCUACUUUUCUGGGCUGCCACCACUUCCUCUUUACUAGUAAGUUUCUCUCUUUUCUGAGGAAUACAACUAGAUCAUGUUACAGCUGUGUUCCAUUUGGUUAUUUUUUUAGAGGUUGUAUUUGUUUAUUUAGUUGUUAGCUAUUUGUUUCCCAAUAUGUGCCUUUCCACAUGCGUUAAUAUUUCCUGGUCCGCACUUUGCUUUUGGUUAGACAUGUACUUUCCUCCUUCAUUUAAUGCCUCUGUAUUUAUGAUGCUUUUUUGCCUGCUAUUCCUUUUUACUGAUACGUAGCUGUAAGCCUUGGUUAGCUUAGAUAGCUAUUUACGUUGUACCUUUCAUGUAGGAUACUCUGCUUUAUUCUUUUUAAUUUUUAUUAAUACUAAAUCCUUUGUUUUAAUAGAAUAUAUGAUUUAUGAUGUAUGCAAUUUUGUUUCUCACGUGUUUUGUGAAUUUUAAAGUUUAAUCUUUAUAUUUUUAAAUUAGAUUCAAAUUUCUUCCUUUCCCUCCCCAAUGUUUUUGUCUCUUUUUGUCUAUUUCUCUAUUUAUAGGUGCGUGCCCUGUGUUUUUGUAUGCCACACAUGAAUUCAGCUUUCACUCUACUUUUUUAGUUUUUGAUUUGAUCAUAAAUGUAUAAGUUUUCAGAUAUCGACGGUUUGCAUGAAUUUCUUUGUGGGAAAAGACUCAUGACCUUUGCUGAUUUCGCAACCUCAUCGGAGCGUGGGGUUUUCAUUGUUAUUGGUUGCUACCUUGGUGUCGACGAGGCUGUCGACAUAUGGAAUGAUCAUCAGUCAAAGGAUGAUGAACCGAGGUACAUUUGAUUGCGCAGGUUUAGGAUGCGUGUCAACGUAGGAGACUAUAAGAGUGAUGCCUCCUUCCUUUUGUGCGAUGAUAUGGUUAGGAAAGUUGCUCCUCAGACCUGCAAGUUGUUGGUUGACACGGCUUGUGUUUUCUUUUAUUUGAUGUGUCAUCAUUUAUUGGAUGAAUUAUUAUUUGCUUCUUUUGUUUCAACAGCUUCAUUUUGAUGUUUUUGUUCUUUACGUAGAGUUUGGGUUCUUCUAUGUAUCCUGUCGACCUUGAUUCAAUGUUCGGUGAUCCGCUCAUACUCGAGGUUGGAAGUAAAUCAGAUGAUUAUCUUGAUGGAUCUGUCUGUUACAACGUUCUCCAGGUUUUUACUCAUCCCGAUCUUCUCGAUGUAUUCCUUAACUUUAGUGACUACUUUCCUGUUGCUGAUCCUAAGGUUAUUGUUUUUGUUUUUUCGUAGAUAUUCUCUAGUUAAUACUAUCUAUGUCUUUCUCUAAGUAUCGGAAAAUUGUAUAUUUGUGGUUCAAGAUGGUUUGCAUGCCAGUCUUAUUGUAGUCUCUCCGGUUGACCAUGAUUUUCCGGUGGUCAUCAAUGAUGUUGAGGUUGUUGAUGAUGUUCAUGCCAGGAACAAUGAUUCAGACUGCAAGUUAAUGUCCAAGAAAGGUUAUGGCCGUAAAUGGAAGCGUGGUCAAAGAUCUUAUGAAGUUGUCGGGGACAACUUCUCAAUGCUGAAGAGGGUUGUCAGGGCAAGACGUGGGUAGUUUGUAUGAUUGUUUGUUCUGUUUGAAUAAUCUGUUGUCGUGUUUCUUUGCUGAAUUGUAGUAGUGUUCGAUGGUGUAGGGUUGUAUUGGUUUUGUUGUACCGAACCUUUCUUUUGGCAGCAUUUUCCUAAUGUUCCUUUUGUGUUUGUAGAUCCAUAUGGUUGGAAGUUUACGUAUAUGUAAACACCCUCUUGCUGACCUCCUUUGUCAUCGUGUAUCUUUUAUCAUCAAAGUAAUGUUUUGUUUUAUGUCCCAACCAUUAAAUCUUUUGUAUUCUCAUUUUUCUCUCUCUCUUCAUGUUCUUAUAUUAAACAAAGACUUUGUGUUAUAAUGGAUCCUAAUAUUAGCCUAUGAAUAUAUCAUAGUUUCAAUUUUCGUUUUUGUUAUUGAUAAAAGUAAUUUAUUUAUUUUUAUAACUUUUUCAAGAAACCUUGCAUCAUUUAACUAAGCUAUUCGAUAUCAUUCAUUUAACCUUCACCUCUGUGAUGAAUAUAUUUCAGAAUUAUUUUAUUUCAAUUAAUCAGUCUCAAAUAUCCUUUCGUGUUACAACAUUUAUUUUUAGUUCGUUGUUCUUUAUCACCGUCUAAUGUGUUUUUUUACUCUUCUUUUAAAAUCGUUAUUUUCCUUCCGCUGAGUAAUUACUAGAUAUUGUUAAGUUAUCUCGGUCGUUUCAAUGAGAUAUGUUCAUAAAAUUGUGGCAAAUGUUUUUUAGUCAUGUUAAAAUCUCAGUGUUUAUGAAUUAAUUUAAAAUAAAGGAAUUUAUUUUUUUUUUCUUUGUUUAUUUGCGUUUAGUUUAGUUUGCGUUUUCCGUACAAAACAGGCUAAUGUUAAAGAAAGAAGAAAUAAUAUGCAUUGGUAUAGACUUUAUCAAAAUAUUUAAGGGGAUUUUGUGUGAUGUUAACUUAGUUAAAAUAGUAAUCUUCUAAAUUUCAAUAUUUUCUCCAUCCCUAAGAUGUCAAUGCAAUCAAUCAAAUUCAUUAAUGGGUUUGGUUUUAGAUGUAAUUUUUAUGAGGUCUGAGCUUAUGCACUCAUCACUCAUUGCAGUACACGUUUUUUCCAUAUAUAUAUAUAUAUAUUUCCAAUCAGUCUUAAUUUUUUUUACUACCCAUCUUUCGUUGCUACAGUUGCUGUAAUAAAUGCUCUCACCUACAAAAGGUAUAGAUAUGUAUUGGUUAAUAUUUUAUUUUUACUGUACUUGAUAUAAUUUCCUUUUUGAAUCCGCUUUGCCUCUGCACACAUCUAUCUUUUUCUUUAUAAAUACGGCAUUCCUCAUCUAUUAGAAAGACACCAAGCAACGAAAAGUCUCCUCUAAUAGAGCAAUAUUAUUUAAACAUGGUAUUUAUUCCAACAGUUUCUGUUUAGUAAACUCUUAAUCAUGUUACUGUUUUAGAAAAUUAUCCAGUUAUUAUAGUCACCCUAUUACUAACUUCUCUCAAUACUCUCAUAACAAAUAAAAAUGAUUAUACCGUUUACCUCUUUGGCUGCUUCGAAAAUUGGUAGGAUGGACUGGAGGGUGAGGGUUAGGGUCAUAAGAAUGUGGACUGUUGAGAGUGAGAUUUUUUCUGGGAGGGUCAACUCAAUGGAACUCAUUCUUCUUGAUGUGGAGGUGAGUUUAUUUGAUAUUUACUCAUACUUAAAUAUAUUAGUUCGUCUUUACGUCUGUUCAUAUAUUUAUAUUUAUUUCAAGAUUUUUGCAUCUUUUCUUUGAUACACUAAGCCUUUAUGUUUGAUGUGCAUGGUUUUGAAAAGGUUGAAUGUUUUGUACAUGGAAAUAUUAUGUGGAUCUUAUCAGUGUUGUAUCUGUUUUGUACAGCAACAUCAUCCACGCUACCAUUCCAUCUCACUGUGUUGGACGUUUCAGGUUGUCUUUUAGGGAACUAUCAGUUCAUGUACUCACUGUGUUUCAUGUGACUGAGAGUAUCAACUCUUUCCAAGGUUUUGUUAUUUUGUCAUCCUUUCCUAUUUGUGAUGUAAUCUGUAAAUCUGUAAUUUGCAAUAUUGGGAAUAUUUUUAAUUUCUUAUUUGUAAUACCCUUUGUGACUAUAAAUUUCAAAUAUAAAUUUUUCAAAUUUGUUGAUCAUUUUAUUUGAUGUCAUCUGCCAUCUAGGCUGGAAAUGAUGACUUCUACCCUACUUAGUUUAACAAACUCAAGGGAAGGAAGAUGUUGUUCAAGGUUCAGAAGUGUACUACUGCGAGUUGUAUAUUUGACGGUUCGUUCAGAGUUAAGAGGGUCUGUGACCAGCCCUCUGUUGUCGAGGCAUUUAACUCUAUUGGUGUUGAAUGCACUCCUUCUGAGGUUAAAUUAAUUCCCUUUUUGAUGCAAUUGAUGAAAUUGUUUAGAGCUUCGUUUAAUUAGUUUAAUUUGAUUUAUGUUGAAGCUGUCUCCGACGCACCCGUAACUGAUAGCGUUGUUGUGAAUCAUGUUUCCAAGUCUGUUGAUGAUUCUGAUGAUGAGGAGUUUGUUUCCAACCUUAUUGUAAGCCCAAAUAGCGUGCUUGAUGUGAAUCAUGAGGUUGGUUUGUCUAUGUUUUGAAUUAUGCUUUGGUCUCCGUUGUGGAUCUAUGGUACAUUUUUGAAUUUUAGAAAUUUGUCCAUUGUGUUUUUGGCAGCCUGAAGCCAACGGCCUUAGCGAUGAUGUCUACCACCUAUCAGGCGAGAACGAAGUUGCUGGUGCUUUCGAAGGUGUUGGCGAUGGCAAAGGUUCUUCCGUGUCUGCUGUUGUUUAUGAGGUUG
rnacentral:lncRNA from 1 species